GACGAACGCUGGCGGCGUGCUUAACACAUGCAAGUCGAGCGGCGCGGCGGACGGGCGAGUAACACGUGAGUAACUGCCCCCCUCUCUGGGCUAACAAUUGGAAAAGGCUGCUAAUAACGGAUAGUGGGGGAUGACUCGCGUCCUAUCAGCUUGUUGGUGGGGUAGUGGCCUACCAAGGCGACGACGGGUAGCCGGCCUGAGAGGGCGCCCGGCCCCAUUGGGCUUAGUGACGGCCCGAACUCCGACGGGAGGCAGCAGUGGGGAAUAUUGCACAAUGGGGGAAACCCUUAUGCAGCAACGCCGCGUGCGGGAUGACGGCCUUCGGGUUGUAAACCGCGUUCAGCCAUGACGCGGUAGUGGCAUAAGAAGCACCGGCUAACUACGUGCCAGCCGCCGCGGUAAUAC
rnacentral:rRNA from 1 species